AAAGGGAGACCUAAUUCAGGUAUGGGACGAAAAAAAAGUAGUCCCAACCAAGAAUCAAUCCCAAAAGGUCGGAGCGAGGCGAAAUUGGCUUUCAAACUAGGUUCUGGGUUCACACAAGACCUGAAUCAGGAACAAGGGCUAUUAGCUCAGGUGGUUAGAGCGCACCCCUGAUAAGGGUGAGGUCCCUGGUUCGAGUCCAGGAUGGCCCACCUGCACAGGUGGCAAAAACAAAGAAAAAAAGCGAGGAAUCAGCACCUGAUCUUACUUGUACAGUAAGAGAGAAUGCUGGCUCUGAGUACAGAGUCCAGAGGAACCUUGAAAACUGCAUAGAGCUAGGUGAAAAAGCCAAAAAAGAAGACCGCAAG
rnacentral:tRNA from 1 species